AUACGGAGGAUGCGAGCGUUAUCCGGAUUUAUUGGGUUUAAAGGGAGCGUAGGCGGGAGCUUAAGUCAGCGGUUAAAUGGUGCGGCUCAACCGUGCCCUGCCGUUGAAACUGGGUUUCUUGAGAGUGCAAGAGGCGGAUGGAAUUCAUGGUGUAGCGGUGAAAUGCUUAGAUAUCAUGAAGAACUCCGAUUGCGAAGGCAGUCCGCUGGGGCACGUCUGACGCUGAUGCUCGAAGGUGCGGGAAGCAAACAGGAUUAGAUACCCUGGUAGUCCGCACGGUAAACGAUGAUUACCCGCUGUCGGCGGCAGACAGUCGGCGGCCAAGCGAAAGCGAUAAGUAAUCCACCUGGGGAGUACGCCGGCAACGGUGAAACUCAAAUGAAUUGGCGGGG
rnacentral:rRNA from 1 species